rnacentral:lncRNA from 1 species
GGGGGUUCUGUUGCUUUGUUUCAGGAGCGAUUUCCCGCUCUUGUCCGAAUCAGCCCAUCGGGGCAGGAGCAGCACAGAGAGGCCCGCUCUGCAGCCUGCUCACCUGAGUCAGAGUUCAGGCGGUGGGCCGACAGCCUCAGGGAGGAGUGGUAACUCCGGCGACGCGACUUGUAGGUGUUUUCGCUGCUUCGCUCCAUGGAGAACUCCUCCAGCCACGAGGAAUUGGAGCGCUUAUCCCGGAUGGUGGAGAAGGAACGCCUCAUGGAGCUAGGGUCUGUCACCACCUGAAAACACGAGCCCCCCCCCCCGAGGAACACAAGGUCUGGAUUAAUGACUGACACGGUCUGCAAGACAUGACACCCUAAAACCCUGGGAGUAGGAGUACAGUACUGGUAAAGGAAGAGGUGCCUGAGACAUCCACUUGGCCUCCACGACCAUGUAGCGGAGUGGCUCCUGGUAGGAACUGCCUUCACAGGACGUGAUGUGUGCACUUGAGCACAGAAGCAUGAAUGAAGAGGGCAUGGCUUGAAGCAUUUUAAGCUCCUGCAGCAGAGACUGCUGUUCCUGGAACUGUCCAUCAUCGGCUGGGUCCAUACAAGCCAACUGGAAUAUUUCCUGCGGGGAGAGUGGACUCAUCGAAGGGUAUCCACUCCGGCCACUCCUGCAAAGGAAUGCCAAGUUCAGAGCUAUUAAAGAAUGGCCUCUGUUUGGAACUUGUUUGGAGAACUGGGGAUUUUUGAGGAAAGCAUGAACCAUCCUGUCUCUGGUCUGCUGUCCCACCCAUCCUAGACUCAAGCUGCAACAUCUCCAGCCUCCAGAAUGGCCCCCCACAUCCUAACCAGCAAGAACCAAUCCCUUAAUACCUAUCCUGUUGUUCCUGUUUGUACUGAAUUUAUGGGUUUGGAUACCACCAGACUCCCUGGUUUGUCUCAAGUCCAAUGUCAAGGAGAGAGAGUUUCUGUCAGCAACCAAGGACCAUUCUGUUCAGUCUUAAACAGGUUUUCUCUCUGAUUACAUGGCUUGUCCCUAUACGCUGUACUCCUAAAUGCACAGAGGUCUUAGUUACACCACCCCCUAGAUUUUCUCUAAUUGUUUAAUAUAUUGUACAACAAUGGACCCUG